rnacentral:lncRNA from 1 species
UCCCCCGCCUGUGAGUGGGGGCCCGCCCCGCCCCCCCGCCCCCCGGCGCGGCGGGGGUGGCGGUUUAACGCCCGCCUGUGCGGCAGCCUGCUGCCUCAGGGCGUUGUUAGCCCCGGCGUCCGCUGUCAGAUGCCGCUUCAGACGCUGAAAAUCCACCCGCCUUUCGCUGUCUGGGCGGAGGAGGGUCAACAGAAAGUCGUCGUCCCUCGGUCGCUUUUGAACGCCGGUUUCAGAACAACUGUGUAUCAAAUAAAGAAUAAUUUUUCCUCGGCCAAGCUCCCUCGGCGGCUGUCGGAGAUGCGCUUCAUCCGCGGCCUCCUGCGGCAGCUGGGCCUUGCUGCCUGAUGGUUAUUAAGAGUAGAAAAUAACAUCAAGAAACUGCUCAGGAUCCGUGCGGGUCCCAUGAGACGCUCCGCCAACAUGUGGCAAGAAAUAGCUGUGGUCCCACUCGAUUUAUUCCUCCUGAUGGGAGGCUAAGGGGGGGGGAAGCCAGCGGCAGCGCUCAGAGGAGGUACGUGCAGCACCGCCUGCGACUACGCUGUCUUGUGGUGGAUGUGAGAAGAGACACUUCAGGCUGCUUUCAGCUGCAUCCCUCUGACAACAAGCCUCCUGUAGGUAUCCCAUUAACCCAUACUAUUUGUUUCAAGUGCCUUUCCAAAAUAACUUACCCCAGGUAUUUAUUAUCCUUACCAGUUGGCUUCUGGGACCUGAACGACAAUAGGCAGCUCAGAGUAAUGGCAUUUGUUAUUUUCCUUGCCUCUUUAGCAGAGUCCAGGCUUCACAGUGUCAAAAUAAUUUGAAUAUUAUCGUCCUGCGGAAAGGUUAAAUCAACAGAAUCUGCUGUGGGCUUUCACUAAGCCAAUCAAGUGAAGUAAGAGGGCAUAGUCUUGUUUUAAAGCAUCAGUUAAUUAAUCCCUAUGUGCUGAGAAGCUCUCUCUGCUGACACGGUGCCAACCUGCAUCAGGCUGGGCCCAGGGCACAGCAGGAUGCUGCUGCCGUGCUUUGCUCUCUAAGGCUUUUUCCUCUGUUGCCAGUGGCAGAAGCGCAUGCGGCGUUGCGCUCAUGCGCUCAUGACCACGCUCAGGCCUGAAGGUCAUUUUAAAAUAGUAUUUUAAAAUAAAAGUUGGAAGUGUAAUAUCUUUUCUGUAUGU